GGUGAACGCUGGCGGCGUGCUUAACACAUGCAAGUCGAACGGAAAGGCCGAAGCUUGCUUCGGUACUCGAGUGGCGAACGGGUGAGUAACACGUGGGUGAUCUGCCCUGUACUUCGGGAUAAGCUUGGGAAACUGGGUCUAAUACCGGAUAUGACGAUCUCUUGGAUGGGGUUGUGGAAAGCUUUUGCGGUAUGGGAUGAGCUCGCGGCCUAUCAGCUUGUUGGUGGGGUAAUGGCCUACCAAGGCGUCGACGGGUAGCCGGCCUGAGAGGGUGUACGGCCACAUUGGGACUGAGAUACGGCCCAGACUCCUACGGGAGGCAGCAGUGGGGAAUAUUGCACAAUGGGCGCAAGCCUGAUGCAGCGACGCCGCGUGGGGGAUGACGGCCUUCGGGUUGUAAACUCCUUUCGCAAUCGACGAAGCCUUUUGGUGACGGUAGGUUGAGAAGAAGCACCGGCUAACUACGUG
rnacentral:rRNA from 1 species